CCUCACCAACCUCCAUGCAAUUGAAGAUGAUGGAGAAACAUUGUCUGCGGCAUUUGAAAGGGAAGAGGAAAGGCCUAUUGAGGAUGAAAUCGAAUUCAAUGAGAGGCCAUCCACUUCUAGCUCUACUUCACAGCUUACCUCUGUAAGAUUCUCCCUGGAAUUAUAAUGAAACGCUGUACUUGGCACUGUGAAAUCCAAUGUCAUCUUUUGCAUUCCUAUAGCUUCCAGUCAAAGAGCUCUAUAAAAUCUAUCUGGGAAAACAAAUAAACAAAGCAGACUUAG